ensembl:lncRNA
GGCGAUUUGUGUUCAUUGAUUCGAAGGGUACUGUGGUAAUACGUCAGGAUGGCCCAGCGGUCUAAGGCGCUGCGUUCAGGUCGCAGUCUAUUCUGGAGGCGUCGGUUCGAAUCUCAUUUUUGACAUUACAUUUGGAUUUCGUUGAUUGUGAUUAUCUGUUCAAACUUUGUAAUAUGGUGAACAUUUGGAAAAGGUUGAUGGAAAUGGGUAAUGAGAGGGGUGUCUUUCUGUCUCAAUCUUUGUGUGCACGUCCGUGCAUUAGUUUAUGUAAGUAGUGUAAUCCAUGUAACUAUGGUAACGUUACAGCGCAUGGUAGCUGGGGUUUAUUAUCGGUCCUUGUUUUACAGACAUUUGAACAUACGAGAGCAGUAACCAUGAUGGCGUUUUGUGUUGAUUGAUUCAAAGGGGUCUGAUGAAAUAUGUCAGGAUGGCCGAGCGGUCUAAGGCGCUGCGUUCAGGUCGCAGUCUCCACUGGAGGCGUUGGUUAGAAUCCCACUUCUGACACUACAUUAUGAUCUUGUUGAUUGUGAUUAUCUGUUCAAACUUUGUAAUAUGGAGAAUAUUUGGAAAAGUUAAGGAGGUUUAAAUUCAAAGUGACUGGCUGGCUACUUUGGGGUAGUAGAAAGGGAAAAUGAGAGGGGUGUCUUUCUGUCUCAAUCUGUGUGUUUGCACGUCCGUGUCGGGGCAUUAGUUUAUGUAAGUAGUGUAAUCCAUGUAACUAUGGUAGGGUUACAGUGCAUGGUAGCUGGGGUUUAUUAUCGGUCCUUGUUUUACAGACAUUUGAACAUACGAGAGCAGUAACCAUGAUGGCGUUUUGUGUUGAUUGAUUCGAAGGGUUUGUUGAAAUACGUCAGGAUGGCCGAGCGGUCUAAGGCGCUGCGUUCAGGUCGCAGUCUCCUCUGGAGGCGUGGGUUCGAAUCCCACUUCUGACAUUACAUUUGGAUUUCGUUGAUUGUGAUUAUCUGUUCAAACUUUGUAAUAUGGAGAACAUUUGGAAAAGGUAAGGAGGUUUAAACUCAAAGUGACUGGCUGGCUACUUUGGGGUAGUAGAAAGGGGAAAUGAGAGGGGUGUCUUUCUGUCUCAAUCUGUGUGUUUGCACGUCCGUGUCGGUGCAUUAGUUUACGUAAGUAGUGUAAUCCAUGCAACUAUGCUAACGUUACAGCGCAUUCAAUUAAAUUCGUUUCGUGUUGAUUGAUUCGAAGGGGUAUGAUGAAUUUCGUCCGGAUGGCCGAGCGGUCUAAGGCGCUGCGUUCAGGUCGCAGUCUCCUCUGGUGGCGUGGGUUAGAAUGCCACUUCUGACAUUACAUUUGGAUUUCGUUGAUUGUGAUUAUCUGUUCAAACUUUGUAAUACGGAGAACAUUUGGAAAAGGUAAGGAGGUUUAAACUCAAAGUGACUGUCUGGCUACUUUGGGGUAG